rnacentral:rRNA from 1 species
GAUGAACGCUGGCGGCGUGCUUAACACAUGCAAGUCGAACGGUGAAACAGGAGCUUGCUCCUGCGGAUUAGUGGCGAACGGGUGAGUAACACGUGAGUAACCUGCCCUUAACUCUGGGAUAAGCCUGGGAAACUGGGUCUAAUACCGGAUAUGACUCCUCAUCGCAUGGUGGGGGGUGGAAAGCUUUAUUGUGGUUUUGG